UCCUACGGGAGGCAGCAGUGAGGAAUAUUGGUCAAUGGAGGCAACUCUGAACCAGCCAUGCCGCGUGAAGGAUGACGGCCCUAUGGGUUGUAAACUUCUUUUGAAUAGGAAGAAACUUAUCUACGUGUAGAUAACUGACGGUACUAUUAGAAUAAGGAUCGGCUAACUACGUGCCAGCAGCCGCGGUAAUACGUAGGUGGUAAGCGUUGUCCGGAAUUAUUGGGCGUAAAGCGCGCGCAGGUGGUUUCUUAAGUCUGAUGUGAAAGCCCACGGCUCAACCGUGGAGGGUCAUUGGAAACUGGGAGACUUGAGUGCAGAAGAGGAAAGUGGAAUUCCAUGUGUAGCGGUGAAAUGCGUAGAGAUAUGGAGGAACACCAGUGGCGAAGGCGACUUUCUGGUCUGUAACUGACACUGAGGCGCGAAAGCGUGGGGAGCAAACAGGAUUAGAUACCCUGGUAGUCCACGCCGUAAACGAUGAGUGCUAAGUGUUAGAGGGUUUCCGCCCUUUAGUGCUGAAGUUAACGCAUUAAGCACUCCGCCUGGGGAGUACGGCCGCAAGGCUGAAACUCAAAGGAAUUGACGGA
rnacentral:rRNA from 1 species